CGGCAAACAAAGGAAUAUGAGGAACAAUAAUCUGUGCCGAAAAGCGGCGUUGCUCUCAGAGGCCGCCCAGCCGCCGAUGGCAGCAGCAGUGCUGUCGCCGCACUUCUCCUGCCCACCCAGCAGCCGCUGAGGUAACCCUCCUGUCAGGGAUACCGUGUCCAGCAUGGGAGGGAAGCUGAAGCGCCCCCAAAUCCUCCAUUUUCAAGGAAUUUGACAGGCACAUGUCAGUAUAUACUGCUGUCUGUGAUCUGUCCCUCAGAGCAAUUUAACCGCCCCCGCCAGAGGCCACAUUUUAAGCCAUAACGGCCGACUUCCACACAGCUCCCCAUGCUAUUUAUGUUCAUCAGCUCCUGAGUUUUGAUUCUUUUGGCUGCCUGUAGCCACUCAAGCAAGCCUUGUAGGAAGAAAAGUCAACUUCAAGUUGUCCAGUUACUAGAAGCAGAGAAGGCCAGACAACUGGAGUUAUGCACACCUAGCAGGAAGACAGUCAAGAAUACUGCAGGUGUCUGCAAGCUACAUAUGGCAUUUUUGGUGGCUGCCCUUGGAUCUCAUGCAAGCCCAGAACUGCUGUACCCCAGUCUUGACUUCAUACCCAUCUGUGUGGCAUCGUUCAGGAUAUCCCAACGUCUGGCUUCCUCUUCCUUCAAAAAUCCUCUGAUACUUCACUUCAAAGACCCAUAUGCAGCCAAACCACAGUGGCAGAUGUCAUGGGAAGUGCUCGCUUUCUGUCCACGUGCUCUCAGUUCAGCGGCAGCGAAGGCUUGCAGCGUACCCGAUGUGUAACCUGCAAAGCAGCCAUAAGGCAAUAUGGAUGAUGAGUUCAGAUGUAGAAGGCUGUACUGAAGGCAUCUAAAAGUGGCCAGAUGAAGCUUGACCAGAUGAAGCUUACAGUCAGCUUGCACAACCAGGGCCACUGUUUAGGUUGUAGGAUGUUCCUGAUUAUGUUAGGUAAAGCAGGGACAGACUGCUGUCUCCUACCUCCCUCAUUACUGCCAUAUCUGCUGGGCUUCUGGCAGACUGGGAUGGGGCUGUCCCCUGCACCUUGUUUCAGUACCUAUCAAUAAUAAAUGUCAGUGUUGAAGAAAGACA
rnacentral:lncRNA from 1 species